UGAACUCACAAACCAUGAGAUAAUGACUGAUCUGAAGUCGGACACCUAACCGACUGAGCCACCCAGGGGCCCCACCAAAUGGUUUUUAAGGGCAGAGUGCCAUGGUCAACUCUUUGCUAUAUGGAGAAUGAAUUAGAGGGGCAAAGUCUAGAUGCAUGGAGAAGUUAGUUGGCUGUCACUAUAGUGCAGGUAAAAAAAGAUGAGUGGCUAAACUAAGACUUGAGGAUGGAGAAGAGAGGAGAGAUUGGAGGUAUUAGAAGACAGAAUCACUUACUGGAUGUGAAGGAUGAAAGAGAGAAAUGAGUUGGUGUUGGUACCUGGGGAGUGGUGGUGGUGGUAUUACUAUUGACAGAGACAAUAAAUGGAUGGAGAACAGGUUUUGGGGAAAAGGGGAGUUCAUUUUGGGGCAUGCUGAAUGUGAAGUACCUGUGAGGCAACAAGAUGGAUGUAAAUCCAAGAGAUAAGAAAUUCAGGUCUGGACACACAGGUUUGGGAAUCAUUAGUGUUUAGACAGUAGCUGUAGCCACUGAAGUGGAUGAAGUAACCCAGGCAGAGAGUGUGUACAAUGAGAAAAGAUAAAUGUAACAACAGAACCCCAAGAAAGCAUUUAGGACUACAGCAAGAAAUUAACUAAAGUCAUUCAGAAUGGUCAGAGAAGAUAGGAAGAGUAUCAGUAGAGGAUACGAGAAGCCAAGAAAAGAGAGUUGCACAAUGUAGAAGGUUAUAUUAACAGUGGUUAUACAAAUAUGAUAGGACUUUACUGAUUUUCUAUUUUCUCUAGUUUCCAUAUUUUACAUAAUAACUCUCAUAAAUACUCAAAUCCCUCCAACAGAGAAGAGGCAAUAAGGAAGUGCUACAUACCCCAGAGAGGUCAAGUAAGAAGAUACCUGAGAAAAAGUCACUAGACUUGACAGUUAGGUCACUGGUGACUUAAGAAAGAAACAAUUCAGCAGAAUGAUGGAUGCAGAAGCUGAAUUAUAGGCAGUAGGAAGAAGAGGGGGGAUCUGCUGAUGCUCCUUAUUCUGAAAUCCGUGAAUAAUGAAGACACCUGCAGGAUAACAGAUCAAUAAAGCAAGAGUUAAACUCUAUUCAGAUGUGCUGAGAAAUGGA